rnacentral:lncRNA from 1 species
GGCAGGCUAGCAUAUUUCCUGAAUCAACAUUAAGGAUUGAAAAAACAUUCUAAAAUGUUUUCCAGAAGGAAUGAAAAAACACUCUAAAAGCUGCAGCAUUUUUCUACACUAGAGAAUUUGCACUUUAUACUUUGCAUCAAUUUUUGUUUUGCAUGUCUUAAUAUACCUACUAGACUGUAAACCUCUGAGGACAGAGGCCAAGUGUUAAUCAUCUUUGAUCUUUUUUGAUAUAUAAUACAUCAGCUGGUAAAGAAUCUGCCUGCAAUGUGGGAGACCUGUUUUCAAUCCCUGGGUNNNGAAGAUCCCCUGCAGAAGGGAAAGGCUACUCACUCCAGUAUUCUGGCCUGCAGAAUACCAUGGACUGGGGUCACAAAGAGUUGGACACAACUGAGCAACUUUCACACUAUUUUUUAGGUAAUAUGUACAUUAUAAUUGCUUACUAAAUGAAUAAAUCAUCAUUUCUGCCCCUAUUUGAAUUUAAUUCAGAUAACUUUCUACUUGGAAGCCUUAAUCAUUUCACAUAUGCAAGGAAAGAACCAUACCAUUGGACCUUGAAGAAGAAAGUUGGGGGCAGAUGAGUGCAAGGAUAUGGCAAAAAGAGGAGAUGAUGGAUCAAUAUGAGAAAAAGGAAAGGGCUUCACUAUGACCAUGAGAGUAUUAAGAGGACAUACAAAAGUACUGAGAAGACACUUGGGAACAGCAGGGCCUGUCCAAAUGGACUUCCAGGAAGGCUGGAUGUCCUGUGCAGCUGAGUACACUCAUUAUCAACUGAUGUCACACUCCAGAAAUGCAGGCUCUGUGGAAAUACAUGGCCAAGGUCCUUGGGUAGUUGAUUCUUUCAAUCAAAUUUCUCUGAAGGUAUUAUUAGAAGAAAAUGACUCCAUGAAGACCUUGGAAAUGGGGUAAUAUAAUGGGAGGAAGCAGCAGCCAGUGAGACAGAUUGACUUGGCAUUGUAUUUAAGAAGAAACUGGGGCUGGGAUUCUGAUCUAGAUUGAGUUGAUGAUUUUUCAAAACAUUUAAUGAUCUGGUUUCUGAUGAUCAAUAUACUGAAGAAAACAUAUAGCAACCUUGGAAAAAGAAAGACCUAAAAUAGUUUAAUUUGGUUUCCUUACUUAAGGGAAAGAAAUACUUUAUUAUUCCUGAGGGACACUCUGGUAUCAGUAUGAGCCACACUGAUGUCUGCAACUUCCUUCAGAAGAACUUUGAAUGUCUCCCUGACAGUCGUUAGCCCUGGUUUGGCCAGGAUCUGUGUCUCUAUCUCUUCUUUCUAAAUGCAGUGAUAUCAUGGA